CCUACGGGAGGCAGCAGUGGGGAAUAUUGGACAAUGGGCGCAAGCCUGAUCCAGCCAUGCCGCGUGUGUGAAGAAGGCCUUUUGGUUGUAAAGCACUUUAAGCGAGGAGGAGGCUACUUGGAUUAAUACUCUAGGAUAGUGGACGUUACUCGCAGAAUAAGCACCGGCUAACUCUGUGCCAGCAGCCGCGGU
rnacentral:rRNA from 2 species